ACUGUGUAAAGAACCAUUGGAGAAUAUCCUCUGGCCUGAAAACAUGUACCAUUGACUUCUAGGUUGUUCUAGGAGCCUUUAUUAAAUUUAAUUUCAAUUAAAAUGUUUGGGGAGCCAGCUCCUGGGAAUACUAAUCAAUAUGUCCCUUUAGUUGAACAGUCCCAUGAUGGGUCUUACAUGCACCUUAUUGAUCUGGAAUGAAGGUAAUUCUCUUUUACCUGACAUCUUGGCUCCUGGCAAGCUCCCCAUUGGCCUCCGUGUGUUCAACCUCACCAGCAUUCUGAGGCUCGAAUCGGCAUGGGAGCAGAGAGUGGGUAACCCCUGUAAAAGGCUCAUUCAACCCUAAAAGGGUCUCCACCCACUACUUUAGAUGGGUCUGUCUCUUCAUACACAGAAACACCAUCUACAGUAGAGGAAAGCUUUGCACUGGAGCUUCCUGUGAACGUCGCGAUCUCACUGUCAGUAGCAAGCCUUCCCUGUGCAGCAGAAGGCUGAGAAGCACAGGCUUUGGGACCCAACAUGUCUCGGCUCAUGCUCCAGCUCUACCAUUUCUAAGUUGGGUAGCCUGGUAGGCUAAUUCAUUCACUGAAGUGCUGGUUGCUCAUCUAAAAGUUGGGGAUGACAACAACACUUACGUCCCAGGGGUUUCAUGAGGAUUAAAUAAAAUGAUGCAUGUGAUCUGGGCAAUGAC